UGAGAGCGAUAAGGGGAGGGGUGAAAACGAGCGCACGCGCAGUAACCAGUCUAGCAAGAGCACCGGGGAACAGGUAAGAUCUGGGGAAUCAAGCGGUCUGUCCCCAGUACAACUGACCGCACCGCAACUCUGCCUCUAAUCUCUGAAUGGAUGCUCUGCAACAAUGAAAAUACUCAGCAUGUCAUACAAAUGUUAGAAGUUGUUUGCAGUGUUGUUCCUACAAUAUGAUGGAGACAAGGUGGUGAGGUAAUUUCUUUUAUUGGACCAACUCCUCCUGGUGAAAGAGACAAGCUUUCAAGCUCCCCAGAGCUCUUUAGGUAAUUUACACUUAAUAGACUAAUAAUUGCAAAAGUAUAAAACCAACUCCUUUCAGAAUAACCCAUCUAAAAUCCACCAUAAUCUCCUCUUUGAAUGCCCAAAAGAAGCUAGUUGGAACACGAACUUUUAUCUUCAAAUUCCAGAUACUCUGAGAACAGGAAACAGUCU